rnacentral:rRNA from 1 species
CCCACGGGAGGCAGCAGUGGGGAAUAUUGCACAAUGGGGGGAACCCUGAUGCAGCGACGCCGCGUGAGUGAAGAAGUAUUUCGGUAUGUAAAGCUCUGUCAGCAGGGAAGAAGAAAGACGGUACCUGACUAAGAAGCCCCGGCUAACUACGUGCCAGCAGCCGCGGAAUUACGUAGGGGGCAAGCGUUAUCCGGAUUGACUGGGUGUAAAGGGAGCGCGGAGGGCUGGGCAAGUCUGAAGUGAAAGGCGGGGGCCAAACCCCAGGACGGCUCUGAAACUGUAAAGCUGGAGUGCAGGAGAGGUAAGCGGAAUUCCUAGUGUAGCGGUGAAAUGCGUAGAUAUUAGGAGGAACACCAGUGGCGAAGGCGGCUUACUGGACUGCAACUGACGUUGAGGCUCGAAAGCGUGGGGAGCAAACAGGAUUAGAUACCCUAGUAGUC